UAAGCGACUAAGCGUACACGGUGGAUGCCCUGGCAGUCAGAGGCGAUGAAGGACGUGCUAAUCUGCGAUAAGCGUCGGUAAGGUGAUAUGAACCGUUAUAACCGGCGAUUUCCGAAUGGGGAAACCCAGUGUGUUUCGACACACUAUCAUUAACUGAAUCCAUAGGUUAAUGAGGCGAACCGGGGGAACUGAAACAUCUAAGUACCCCGAGGAAAAGAAAUCAACCGAGAUUCCCCCAGUAGCGGCGAGCGAACGGGGAGCAGCCCAGAGCCUGAAUCAGUGUGUGUGUUAGUGGAAGCGUCUGGAAAGGCGCGCGAUACAGGGUGACAGCCCCGUACACAAAAAUGCACAUGCUGUGAGCUCGAUGAGUAGGGCGGGACACGUGGUAUCCUGUCUGAAUAUGGGGGGACCAUCCUCCAAGGCUAAAUACUCCUGACUGACCGAUAGUGAACCAGUACCGUGAGGGAAAGGCGAAAAGAACCCCGGCGAGGGGAGUGAAAAAGAACCUGAAACCGUGUACGUACAAGCAGUGGGAGCACGCUUAGGCGUGUGACUGCGUACCUUUUGUAUAAUGGGUCAGCGACUUAUAUUCUGUAGCAAGGUUAACCGAAUAGGGGAGCCGAAGGGAAACCGAGUCUUAACUGGGCGUUAAGUUGCAGGGUAUAGACCCGAAACCCGGUGAUCUAGCCAUGGGCAGGUUGAAGGUUGGGUAACACUAACUGGAGGACCGAACCGACUAAUGUUGAAAAAUUAGCGGAUGACUUGUGGCUGGGGGUGAAAGGCCAAUCAAACCGGGAGAUAGCUGGUUCUCCCCGAAAGCUAUUUAGGUAGCGCCUCGUGAAUUCAUCUCCGGGGGUAGAGCACUGUUUCGGCAAGGGGGUCAUCCCGACUUACCAACCCGAUGCAAACUGCGAAUACCGGAGAAUGUUAUCACGGGAGACACACGGCGGGUGCUAACGUCCGUCGUGAAGAGGGAAACAACCCAGACCGCCAGCUAAGGUCCCAAAGUCAUGGUUAAGUGGGAAACGAUGUGGGAAGGCCCAGACAGCCAGGAUGUUGGCUUAGAAGCAGCCAUCAUUUAAAGAAAGCGUAAUAGCUCACUGGUCGAGUCGGCCUGCGCGGAAGAUGUAACGGGGCUAAACCAUGCACCGAAGCUGCGGCAGCGACGCUUAUGCGUUGUUGGGUAGGGGAGCGUUCUGUAAGCCUGCGAAGGUGUGCUGUGAGGCAUGCUGGAGGUAUCAGAAGUGCGAAUGCUGACAUAAGUAACGAUAAAGCGGGUGAAAAGCCCGCUCGCCGGAAGACCAAGGGUUCCUGUCCAACGUUAAUCGGGGCAGGGUGAGUCGACCCCUAAGGCGAGGCCGAAAGGCGUAGUCGAUGGGAAACAGGUUAAUAUUCCUGUACUUGGUGUUACUGCGAAGGGGGGACGGAGAAGGCUAUGUUGGCCGGGCGACGGUUGUCCCGGUUUAAGCGUGUAGGCUGGUUUUCCAGGCAAAUCCGGAAAAUCAAGGCUGAGGCGUGAUGACGAGGCACUACGGUGCUGAAGCAACAAAUGCCCUGCUUCCAGGAAAAGCCUCUAAGCAUCAGGUAACAUCAAAUCGUACCCCAAACCGACACAGGUGGUCAGGUAGAGAAUACCAAGGCGCUUGAGAGAACUCGGGUGAAGGAACUAGGCAAAAUGGUGCCGUAACUUCGGGAGAAGGCACGCUGAUAUGUAGGUGAAGUCCCUUGCGGAUGGAGCUGAAAUCAGUCGAAGAUACCAGCUGGCUGCAACUGUUUAUUAAAAACACAGCACUGUGCAAACACGAAAGUGGACGUAUACGGUGUGACGCCUGCCCGGUGCCGGAAGGUUAAUUGAUGGGGUUAGCGGUAACGCGAAGCUCUUGAUCGAAGCCCCGGUAAACGGCGGCCGUAACUAUAACGGUCCUAAGGUAGCGAAAUUCCUUGUCGGGUAAGUUCCGACCUGCACGAAUGGCGUAAUGAUGGCCAGGCUGUCUCCACCCGAGACUCAGUGAAAUUGAACUCGCUGUGAAGAUGCAGUGUACCCGCGGCAAGACGGAAAGACCCCGUGAACCUUUACUAUAGCUUGACACUGAACAUUGAGCCUUGAUGUGUAGGAUAGGUGGGAGGCUUUGAAGUGUGGACGCCAGUCUGCAUGGAGCCGACCUUGAAAUACCACCCUUUAAUGUUUGAUGUUCUAACGUGGACCCGUAAUCCGGGUUGCGGACAGUGUCUGGUGGGUAGUUUGACUGGGGCGGUCUCCUCCUAAAGAGUAACGGAGGAGCACGAAGGUUGGCUAAUCCUGGUCGGACAACAGGAGGUUAGUGCAAUGGCAUAAGCCAGCUUGACUGCGAGCGUGACGGCGCGAGCAGGUGCGAAAGCAGGUCAUAGUGAUCCGGUGGUUCUGAAUGGAAGGGCCAUCGCUCAACGGAUAAAAGGUACUCCGGGGAUAACAGGCUGAUACCGCCCAAGAGUUCAUAUCGACGGCGGUGUUUGGCACCUCGAUGUCGGCUCAUCACAUCCUGGGGCUGAAGUAGGUCCCAAGGGUAUGGCUGUUCGCCAUUUAAAGUGGUACGCGAGCUGGGUUUAGAACGUCGUGAGACAGUUCGGUCCCUAUCUGCCGUGGGCGCUGGAGAACUGAGGGGGGCUGCUCCUAGUACGAGAGGACCGGAGUGGACGCAUCACUGGUGUUCGGGUUGUCAUGCCAAUGGCACUGCCCGGUAGCUAAAUGCGGAAGAGAUAAGUGCUGAAAGCAUCUAAGCACGAAACUUGCCCCGAGAUGAGUUCUCCCUGACUCCUUGAGAGUCCUGAAGGAACGUUGAAGACGACGACGUUGAUAGGCCGGGUGUGUAAGCGCAGCGAUGCGUUGAGCUAACCGGUACUAAUGAACCGUGAGGCUUAACCU
rnacentral:rRNA from 1 species